rnacentral:rRNA from 1 species
GGACGAAAGUCUGACGGAGCAACGCCGCGUGAGUGAAGAAGGUUUUCGGAUCGUAAAACUCUGUUUUCAGGGACGAAUGUGCAAUAUGUGAAUAAUGUGUUGUAAUGACGGUACCUGACAAGAAAGCCACGGCUAACUACGUGCCAGCAGCCGCGGUAAUACGUGGGUGGCAAGCGUUGUCCGGAAUUAUUGGGCGUAAAGCGCGCGCAGGUGGGAUAAUAAGUCUGAUGUUAAAGUUCGGGGCUCAACCCCGUGAAGCAUUGGAAACUAUUAUUCUUGAGUGCAGGAGAGGAAAGUGGAAUUCCUAGUGUAGCGGUGAAAUGCGUAGAUAUUAGGAGGAACACCAGUGGCGAAGGCGACUUUCUGGACUGUGUCUGACACUGAGGCGCGAAAGCCAGGGUAGUGAACGGGAUUAGAUACCCCGGUAAUCCUGGCCGUAAACGAUGGGUACUAGGUGUUGGGGGUAUCGACCCCUCCAGUGCCGGAGUUAACGCAAUAAGUACCCCGCCUGGGGAGUACGG